GCCGACCCCUCGCGUGGCGGCACCCCGCCUAACUCCCCCAGGGCCGGAAGGCAGCAAGGGUAAGUGGGCUCUACCGGGUGCGCGAGGGGUCCCUUCAU
rnacentral:SRP_RNA from 1 species